AUUGAACGCUGGCGGCAGGCCUAACACAUGCAAGUCGAGCGGAUGAAGGGAGCUUGCUCCUGGAUUCAGCGGCGGACGGGUGAGUAAUGCCUAGGAAUCUGCCUGGUAGUGGGGGAUAACGUCCGGAAACGGACGCUAAUACCGCAUACGUCCUGAGGGAGAAAGUGGGGGAUCUUCGGACCUCACGCUAUCAGAUGAGCCUAGGUCGGAUUAGCUAGUUGGUGGGGUAAAGGCCUACCAAGGCGACGAUCCGUAACUGGUCGGAGAGGAUGAUCAGUCACACUGGAACUGAGACACGGUCCAGACUCCUACGGGAGGCAGCAGUGGGGAAUAUUGGACAAUGGGCGAAAGCCUGAUCCAGCCAUGCCGCGUGUGUGAAGAAGGUCUUCGGAUUGUAAAGCACUUUAAGUUGGGAGGAAGGGCAGUAAGUUAAUACCUUGCUGUUUUGACGUUACCAACAGAAUAAGCACCGGCUAACUUCGUG
rnacentral:rRNA from 1 species